rnacentral:rRNA from 1 species
AACGGCCAUACCAUGCUGAAUAUACCGGUUCUCGUUAGAUCACCGAAGUCAAGCAUCAUUGGGCGCGGUCAGUACUUGAUGGGUGACCACCUGGGAACACCGCGUGACCG